rnacentral:lncRNA from 1 species
CCACUCUGGGGCCCGUCUGUCCUUUGCCAGGAGUUGACUGGUUGCCCUGCUUGCUUCCUUUCUUCCUAAUCUCAGUUGUCAUGGGUGGGGCCUUGGCUAUCCCUACCAUGAUCACAACUUCCUUGUCUACAACUGGCCUAAGCGUGGACCACCUUCCUGAAACUGAGUGGAAUGAAAUGAUGAGUUUGCACUGAAAUGAACUUGACUUCAGAUGCAACAAGGCAACCUAUGUGACUGGCACACUACAUCAAGGACUAUGACUUAUACCUGCUGCACAUAUUAUGAUGGACUUAUUUGUAAAAUGGACUUUGGAGAAGUGAGGAGAAGCUUGUCUUAGCUAGGGAUUUGGGUGGAGGCAGUGG